UAGUGUUGUACAGUCCGUGGUGGAGGGCGGGUGUGUGUCUGUGUGCUCCGCGCGUACUCUAAGUGUUUCCUAACCUCCACGGUCCUCCUCUAACCUCACAGUACACUCUCCCGGGAGCUCUUAAGACCACCUUUACGAGCGUGUGUGACCCCUGAGGUUGUUAGUGGUGGCGUGUGUUGUGAUCAGUGUGUGAUGAGGUAGAGGGGGAGUGAUGAGGCCGGAGUGUUUUGUGGCCGACCAGACCUGCGGGACCUACAGCCUCCUCCUCCUGCACCUCCUCCUGCUGCUCCUUCACCUCUCGUCGGCAUGAUGGUUGCAUGUGCAGGAUGGUGUGCAUGAGGUGUGAGUGGGACCGGGGCUGACCACCGCACACAUCCCCGAGGCUACUCUCUACCUCUGUCAAUACUCUCAUCUGCCAGCUACCAGCACACUCUAGGGACAGGAUGUACUCCUCCCACCACCACCACAACAAGCCAGGUGUUCCAUCACCAGACAGUGCCGCAGCUGCUGACAUCUUCGAGCAGCUGUGUGCUGCCAGCACUUUCAAGACAGUCCUCUACCACUACCGUCAAUUAUGUGAUGUUCUCAGGCUCAAACCUACUAAUUUUAGAAGUUUUUAUCCUAAAUUAAAGUCCAAACUUCGGUCAUGGAAAGCUCAAGCUCUGUGGAGUAAGUUUGACAAGCGAGCUAGUCACAAGUGCUAUAACCAUGGCAAGGCAUGCACCAACAGUAAGGUCUUGAUAAUUGGUGCUGGACCGUGUGGCUUGCGCUCGGCUAUAGAGUGCCAGCUGUUGGGUGCUAAAGUUGUGGUGGUGGAGAAACGAGACCGAUUGUCUCGUAACAACGUUCUCCACCUAUGGCCAUUUGUCAUAUCCGACCUGAAGCAACUGGGAGCAAAGAAGUUCUAUGGGAAAUUCUGUGCUGGAGCUAUUGAUCACAUUAGCAUCCGGCAACUUCAGUGCAUCUUGCUGAAGGUAGCCUUGCUGUUGGGUGUUGAAGUGUUUGAAUCUGUGACCUUUGAGGAGCUAGUUGAACCACCCGAGGAUCAAAAUGAAAAGAUUGGUUGGCGAGCAAGAUUAACUCCACCAGACCAUCCAGCCAAUCAGUAUGAAUUUGAUGUGCUGCUUGGAGCAGAUGGCAAGAGGAACACGCUUCAUGGCUUCAAGCGAAAGGAGUUUCGUGGAAAGUUAGCUAUUGCCAUCACAGCCAAUUUCAUAAAUAAACGAACUGAAGCAGAAGCCAGAGUUCAAGAAAUUAGUGGAGUAGCAUUCAUCUUCAACCAAAAAUUCUUCAAGGAACUCUAUGCGGCAACAGGGAUUGAUUUAGAAAACAUUGUUUAUUAUAAGGACGAGACUCAUUACUUUGUUAUGACUGCAAAAAAACAUUCUCUUAUUGACAAAGGCGUGAUAAUAAAUGAUCUGCCAGAUACGCAGCAGUUGUUACACUCAAGCAAUGUGAACCGCAAUGCCCUACUAGAUUAUGCACGUGAAGCUGCAGAUUUUUCCACAAACUAUCAGCUGCCUCACCUAGAUUUUGCUGUGAAUCAUUAUGGGAAACCUGAUGUUGCCAUGUUUGAUUUCACAUCUAUGUUUGCCGCCGAGAAUGCUAGUCGAAUGGUUGAGAGAAAAGGUCACAAGCUUGUGGCAGGACUUGUUGGAGACACCUUACUAGAGCCUUUCUGGCCAACUGGAUCUGGAUGUGCCCGAGGAUUUUUGAGCUGUUUUGAUGCUGCUUGGAUGAUCCGGUCAUUAUGUUCAGGAAAGAUGACUUCCUUGGAGGUGCUAGCAGAAAGAGAGAGCAUCUAUCGUCUUUUGGCACAAACAACUCCAGAAAAUCUUAGUAAAGAUCACUCUUCAUAUACACUGGAUCCAGCAACAAGAUAUCCCACAAUUAAUGUACGCGCAGUGCUACCCUUUCAAGUACGCUCCCUUUUUGACACUGAUGACGCUGCCCACCUUGAGGAGGUUACCAAUCCUCACCUAGUCAAUUCUGACGAACUACCAAAGAAGAGGAAAAGAAGAGAUUCUUUUAUACAUCCUGAUACUUUGCUGGUGUGGUGCAAGAAGCAAGUUGCCCUCUAUGACUCUGUUCACGUAGACAAUAUGACCACCUCCUUUAAGGAUGGUCGGGCACUGUGUGCUAUUAUUCACCGCUACCGUCCGGACUUGAUUGACUUUGAAGCCUUGCAGCCAGAAGAUAUUGCUCAAAAUAACCAGCUGGCAUAUGAUAUCCUGGAACGUGACUUCGGGAUCCCUCCUGUUAUGACGGGUGCUGAGAUGGCAGAAUGUGACGUGCCAGACAAGUUGAGCAUGAUAUCCUAUCUAUCUCAGAUCUAUGAUGUCUUCCGGGGCGAAAUUCCCCACUUCAAAUAUCCAAAGAUGGAUGAUGGGGAAAUGGAGGUGGAGAAGCAGGUCACACUCACACAACGCUCCACACCACAUGUCAACAUUCUCAAGAAUCUCGCCAACAAAACGGCAAGCACGUCUCAGGGUACACCAGCUUCCAAGAAAAGAAUGUCAUUAGAAAGAGAAACAAGGAAAAGGGACGAUGGGCGCAUUACUUGUCGGUUGAUAGAUGACACUGGGGUGUCGGCUACAGAUAAGAGAUUGGAGUCUCUUAAAAGAACCAAAAAGAGAAAAAGUGACAAAGUUUCUUCACCUCAGGAUGAUAUCGAGUCUCAUCAGCGACGUGAAGAAAUACUUUCCAACCGACUGGAACAAAUGAGAAAGCUGAGGGAAAGGCGAGAGUUAGACAAUGUGCGCUUCAUCCGCUCAAUGCAGAUGUUGCAGUGCGGGAUCAAUGAUCCUUCCUCCAUCCAACAGUCUUAUAACAGAGAUGAAGACUGGGGCAUAACUGAAUAUAGGAAACACUGUGUUAAAACAAUGCGAGAAAAGGCACAGGAUUUAGAAAGGAAGCUGAAUCAUCGACCUGAGAGAGCAGCAGCCGAAGACUAUAUGAAACGGGUACAAGUGGAUCAAUCUGAGGAUUUUAAUGAUAAGGUGAAGGAUCUGGAAGCUAAGUUUACUGCAAACUCCAGCACUCAUGCAUUGGACAAGAAACCCAAGGACCUCAUUCGUGCCAUUGGUAAGAUAGAGAAAUCUGACUGGAAUAUGGUUGCUAUAGAGAAGAAGAUGCAUGAGAAUAAGUUUGGUAUAGAUGCACAAGGAGAAAAGGAGAAAGUUCCCAAGUGGAAUAGAGAUGCGUAUGAUGACAAGUUUCACAACAUAGAAAGACGAUUAAGAGAAAAUGGAGAAGAUGAAGAGACUAUUGCCAAAUAUAGAGAUAUAGACACAUCUUUAAAGAGGUUGGAAAUGAAGCUGCGUGAAGGGUCAACUUUAGAGACUGGAAUGCGUGGACAAAACAAAGUCUCUAACCUUGCAUCUCAACUGUCUUCCAAGCUAGAGAAGAAGGAACCUGAGAAGGUUUUAAUUGCGAGACAGCCUACAAGACCGAUGGUGCCCUUGCCUACUUCUGGAUCUGACCUCUGCCAUUUUUGUGGCAAUCGGGUAUAUUUAGUUGAAAGGCUAAGUGCUGAGGGAAAGUUCUUUCAUCGUCAGUGCUUCAAGUGUGACUAUUGUGCAGCUAACCUUAGACUUGGGAAUUACAUUUACGAUCGAGAGGGAAGGUUUGGAGGGAAAUUCUUCUGUAUUCCACACUUUGGCUUGACCCCACGUGCACGUGGUCUGCGCCGAAGACCGGAAGAUAUCGACAAUACCAAGGAGAACAUAUUUCCUCCGGCUACCACAAGUACACCAAAGCUACAGGUACCAGUGGUGGUGGGGGCAGGCGAAGCAACAGGUGCCCUUGUUAGCAGUCUUGGUGUAGGGAAAGGUGGUGCUCUAACUGGCCUCUCCCCUGAAGACCGAGGUACCACUCCAGAACGUGUGGAAUUUGAGAAUUCGGUUGUGGAACAGAGUGAUGAAGAUGAAUACCUUUCUGAGGAUGAAUGGACAGAUCGUAAUUUUGGUGCAUCUGCCAACGAGUUGGAUGACUCGGAUGGCGAAGACGAUAGUGAUUACUCGGACCUCAGUGAUGAAGAGGUUGAUGAUGAAGAAAUGGGUUACUUGGAUGGUGGGGGAACUCUGACUGCUGCCGAGACUCGCAGAUUAGCAGAGUCAUGGCAGAGGCGCUACUCCACUGACCGCCUUGAUGAUGAUGAUGGUGGCGGCGGCUCUGGACAUGAAUCUGAAUCAGACCUCGACUCUGACAAUUAUAGUGAAGAAUAUGGAGCUGAGGGUGAUGAAAGUCACACAGCCACUGAGGGCGAAGGAGGCGAGGACGAUGACGACGAAGAUGAGGGCGAGGCAGUAAGACAAGCUCGGGAGCUCCGGCGUAUGGAGGUCAAUAUCGACGUGGCAGCUCCACCUAGGAAAGCUGAAACUUCAGAUAGUGGUUCAGAUACUGAGGUUGCAAGUGAUGAAGAGAGUGAAGAGAGUGAUACUCAGAUUGACACCGACUCUGAGUUUGCUGACGAUCAUGUUCAACCUGGGCCUCCUAAGGCAAUCCCCACCAUUAUUAUUAAUGAAUCCCAAGAUAUGCUUCAGGACUUCAACCUCGGUCUGUCAGUGGCUAAAGAACAGGAAAGUAAAGAUCGGAGUCAUAUUGGUGUGACCCAAGUGAAAGGUGAGCCAAGAACUGAUUUUGUGGCUCAGAAAGUAGAUUUAGAAACUGUGAACAGUAAGGAAUCAGGUGAUUGGGUGAAAGAAAAUGGUGAAAAAAGUGCUAGUUUAACGAAUCUAAAUGAAACGGGCAAAAUAAAUCCUCGUGCAGAGCAACUCAAAAGGCUUCUACAACGGACAGAUUCAAGAGAAGCGAUAGCUGCUCAGAGAGCCCUACAGCUGAAGCGUCAGUACCUCCUUGGGGAGACUGUAAACCUCCCACGGAAAUCUGUCUCGACGGCAGAUUUAGGCAGCCGUUUUAAGAGUUUCAUGGACAAAAUAUCUGAAACACAGAAAAUGCUGAAUCCAGCUCCCCAACCUAGUGCAGCUAUGCAAGCUUUCAUGAGCUCAUCAGUGCCCAGCCCUAGGAGUCCAGUAUCCUCACCAUCGUCCCCUCUCUUUCCAGCUAGGUCUAUAUCACUUCCUCAGGGUGAAAAUACUUCAGAUUCAACAAAUGCUGAUACAGCUGAUGGGGACAACUCACUAACUAAAUCAACAGUAGCAGCAGAUAUAUCUUUGACUAACCCUGCAGAAGUAAGCGCUUCUCAGGAAGCCAAACAAAAUAUCACCACUCAUAUAGAGUCGUCAGUAUACCCCGUGGAGGCCAUAGAUGAAGUAGAAGUCCCGGUGCAGAUUACAGAUCAGUUAAAAGGCUUCCCAGUCUCUGGAGAAUCCUCUAAAAUAGAUGAGGAAGCCAUAAGUAAACCAGAGAAAAACCUGGUGAAAUUUCCAGAGUCUGAGAGCAGUAGUGACACGGGCACUGGGACAUCAAGUGACAGUGGAUCUGAUUAUGACAAUGUGCCUUCUGGUUGCAAAUGGUCUGUUCCUAAAAAAUCACCAACUACCAUUGAGAUUCAGAAACAAGCCAACUCCAGUGUAAAAGAUAAUGUAAUUUGUGACUGUGAUGUAAAUAUUAGUAGUGACAUUACUGACAAAGUAGCAAAUGUGGAAAUAGACAGACUAAAAAGUGAUAGUGAUUUAGACAAAGAAAAAGUACAUGAAAGUAUGAACCUAAAUGUGGAUCAGCAGCAUGAAUGUAUUGUGUCAGAUGAAGCAAUAGAUGAAUUUGGGUUAUCAUUGCCCGGAGAAUGUGAAGGACUCGAAACUAUUAAUCGGGAGAUUGUGCUGAUAAAUAUGCCACAUUCACUUGAUACAGGGAACAUUGAAUGUCAAAAUAUUUUAAGAGAGGAAAAUAAUCCUGUGUGUGUUUUUAGUGAGGUAGAAAAGCAUGAGGUAGAAGAUAAUAUUGAUGAACUAUUUAAUAUACUAGCUAAUGAUGCUUUAGAAGAUAUUGAUAAAUUUUCUGAGUUAGUCGAGUUAUCAGGUACAAAUACUAAUGGUUUUUCACAUAGUGACAUAAACUCUAAAACUAGUGACACUUUGACAUCUCAGGAAUUGUCAGUAUGUGAUACAGAGAGAGAGAGAACAAGUGCUGAGAAAAGUAUAAACAAACAAGUAGAGCCUGUUACAGAAAUUGUUGUGGAGAAUGCUAAAGCACAUGAACAAUUGGAGAACACAAUAGAUAAGUUGUCCCAUACACGAACUACAGAUGAAAGUGAUGAAAUAAAGCCAGUGUUGUCAAAGGAAAACUUGUCUAGUCCUGAGGAGGGUAGGGAACACACUGAACCCGAGUUAUCAGAUUGGGCUGGUGAUAAUGAUGGCUUGAGUGCUGGUGAAGAUUUAGAAGUCGAACUUAAUAAAAUUAGAAAGCGGUGUAUAAAAAAGGAUGCUUCUAAAACUAUUGCAAGAAUAGCGUCAGAGGAAAGUCUCGGAGACACAGACUCUGCUGUAUCUACUUGCCCCAAUAUUACCACCCCAGUGCCUUCAAAACCUUCCGCUCUUGUAGAUCUCGAAGGCAUAGAAUUCAUGGACACCAGUGAAAGUGCUAGUAGCCCUGAUGAUACAUCACACAAAAAACUGGGAUAUAGAAAGUUGGAAGAAGAAACUCCUACAACUCCUAUCGCUCCACAGAUAUCCCUAAUUGAGCUUGAAAACGUGCAAGUUCAGAGCCAAAGUGGGAGUGAAAGUAAAUCCUCAGAGAGCACAAGUACUGAAAUGGAUGAUACAUCACAAAGUAGUGUCCAGGAAGCCCAAAAUAACAACAUGGCUGAGCAUGAGAGUAUAGAAGUCAAGUAUUUAUUAAACAAAUCAAAAUCUCACCUACCACGUCUUUCAAAAAGCAUGUCAGAGUCCCAUGUUCCGAAAAGCACGUCUGAACCUCCUUCUCUUACAGAAAUAAUGCCAAACUUAAAUGGGGAGCAUCGACGAGAUUCCUUAGAUGACUAUAUGUCUCCAAAACGCUAUGAAGGAUACAUUCCUAGAUUCAAAGAAAGAAUGAGCCCAUUUGGAUAUGUUAGAGAUUCAAUAGAUAUUCAAAAGAAUUCUACGAAACAACCAUUGUUUUCUCCAACUAAAAAGGAUGUAGAAGAGAGAGAAAAGAAUGAGAAACAACUGGCAGAAUUAAAAAUCCAGAACAGUGCCUCAGGAAGUAAACAAGCUGUCUCUCCUAAUACAGCUAAAAAACAGAUAGAGAGAAGCCUACAAAAUAGUAAUAAAGAAAAGGAGAAAGAUCUAAUUAAGGAAUUAGUCAUGUCACGAAUAUCUCGGAAAAAUUCAGAAAAGUCUCCUAGAAGAGGAUCACGGGCAUCUGUAAGCCCUCUUUCUUCAACUGGAUCAAGAACUUCACUCUUCAGUCCCCUAUCAUCCCAGGAGAACCUUUUAGACAAAAUUGACAAUUCUGUGAAAGAUUUGGAUUGUAUAAGCAAAGAGUGUCAAGAUAAAAAACAUAUUCGAGUUAACAGCAAAAAGUUAUUGAGACUGGAAUCUGUUAUAUCAGAUUUACCAGAAAGUGGGCAGACAUUUGCAGCUGAGGAGACUCGAGCAAAGGUUAGAGUAGGUUCUUAUUUUAGAAAUGAUAGUGUUUUGGGAUUGACAGAUGAAAUGGAUAGUCUUCAAGAGUGUAGUGUUCCAUUUGUUGACGAGAGUUUGGAUGAAGAAGUAUUUGAAAGAAACUGUGACAAAAAUAGCAUUAACACAGCGCCUAAACAAAGUCCUUGUGAGGAAAUUGAUACAGCAAAAAAAGUGUGUGAAGCAGAACUUUCAAGCCCAGCUCGUGUAAAUCUUCCAGCAACCCCCAUGACUCAUCCUGAGCAAUUUAGAAGCUUACCACUGAAGAGGGAAAUGUUUAUAGUGCCUCCUGCUCCAGUUCCAGCAACACCAAUGCGUAGACAUCAUGCUUCUGUCUCUGGUAGCUCGACACCCAUCACAUCUGAGAGACCGCUCUCGACUCCUAAUCUAAGUACUGUAGAGAGAGAGAGAGCCAGAGAGGAGGCUCGCAUUCGUGCACGCCUUAAAACAGAUUUGGAUCUAGGAUUAAGUCCUCCAAACCUGGCGGAUAAUUUACGAGAAAAGUUAAAAAGAGGUAGCCUGAGUGAAUGCGAAGCAGAAAAAGAAGAAAAAGUGAGAGAGAAUCAAGCAUUAGUUAUACAAACAACAUUUAAAACUCAGGGAAGAGAGGAAUCAACACCAAAAGAUAAAGAUGAAAGGGUGAGAGAACUGCUUGCCGAACAACGGCAGCAUCGACAAAGAGAUUCUUCAGAAGUCCAGCAAGAUGAAUGGAACAAAGAUGAUCGUGUUAAGGAAAGACUAGAGGAAUAUCGACAAAGAAGAAGAGGAAGCACUAGAAGUAGUGAAAGUGGUGACUCUCGACCAAAUAGUCAACUCCUACGGCGUCCCACUCAUAGGCCAUCCUUGUUGGAACUUGAAUCUUUACAGGUGUUUACUGCUCCUCCAAUUAAAGCUAAUAUUAGUGUGCCAACUUCUAUAGGAAAUACCACAACAGCCGUAAGCAUGGCUGCAUCUCCAACCAUUGGUUUAAUUCCAUCUAUGCAACAGUCAAAUGUAGCACCAUUGUCUCCAGCAACUUCAGCUACAACCGUCUUAUCUAGUACUACUCCAGCUCGUACUACUCCAGCUCGUACUACUCCAGCUCAUACUACUCCAGCUCCAGCAAGUCAGCUAUUGCAGGAAUCUGCUUCAUCAGAGAAAAUAUUGGAGAAAAAAUCGGGCAAGAAAUCAAAAGAUCGUGAAAGGAGGAGAAGUUUGAUACAAGUUUUUACAGGAAUGUUCAGUAAAUCUGGAGGAGAUGAUAAAAAAAAGAGCGAACAGCAAUCCCAGCCAAGUGAUGCACACGAGUCUUCGUCAGUUGUGCCGCCUGCGAGUACUCUAGUAGCUGAUACACCCAAGUGUGCACCGAAAAGUCCAUCAACAGUUCGAGACAAGCUAUCCAAGUUGCGAUUAUCCAGAUCCAAAGAAAAGAAGAAGGUUGAGAAAUGUAGAUCGAAUAGUGCUGACAUCCUUGAUGACCGUGGGAGUGCCAGUGCCACUCGUGCUGCCUUCUCCUUACCCACUUCCCCCUCCCGGCGCCCAAUUCCCUUCUUAUCCUCUCCCUUCGCUAAAGCUUCAUCACCACCUCAAGCAUCAGGAUCUACCUAUUCCUCUUCCCAAGUGCAUCUCACCACCCCGAGAAUUGAAGAGGAAAGUCUCUCAGAUGAUGAAGGAGGAAGUGCGGCAGGAACUCCUGUGGGCACCCUGGAGCGUGGCCUUCAGGGUCCAUGGUCCGGAUCAACAAAUCGUAAACAUCGUACAGCAGCACUGAAGGCAGCAAGGCAGGCAGAACUCAAGAGGCUUAGAAUGGCGCAAGAAAUUCAGCGGCAGCUAGAGGAGUGUGAAGUAAAGACCAGAGAGCUGGAGGAAAGAGGGGUGGCAGUAGAGAAAGCACUUCGAGGAGAAAGUAAUGGAGCAAACCGUGAUGAAGCAGAGUUGAUGGGGGACUGGUUCUCAAUGGUUCAUGAAAAGAAUGCUUUAGUGAGAUGGGAGCAGGAACUCAUGGUCCGGGCCAAAGAGCUAGAGCUGGAGGAUCGUCAUGUCAGACUAGAACAAGAGCUCAGGCAUCGUAUGGCCCUCUCAGAGCAUGAAAAAUCCCGGGAAGACAUUGAUCGUGAAGGCAUCAUCCUUGCAGAAAUGCUGAGUAUCCUCGAACAGAAGGAUGCAUUAGUCACCAUGUUGGAGGAAGACAGACAGAGGUGCGGCCACAACUACAAUCCCAUGCCCUUCCUCACAGCCAGUGCCUCACUCACCCCUCAGAGGCUUCCCAACAACCUGAUUACCUCCACCAAGCCUUCCACCACAUCACUCUGCACCUCCACUACCAAACUGACACCUUACCUCACAACUAAGCUUCAACAUAUUUCAUAUUUACAUCCAACAGCAUCUCAGUCAUUAGCUUCAUUAUUUCUGCCUGUCAGCCAUGGACAAAUGACCUCAAAUACAUCUCUGUUAAUACCCAUGGAUAAUCAGGAGACCAAAGUGGCUUCAGUAUUGCAUGCUUGCUUGAGUUCAUCCUUAAAUCAUGCUUUCCAUUCCCUAGCUCUUAGUGAGCGUUUCAGUCACUUUGACCAUCAUCCGUCAUCUCGUAAACCCAGUGUUUUUGACCGUGACCCGUGUAGUAAAACGUGCACUCAAUAUCAGCAUGCUCAGAGGAAAGUAAAUCUUUUUAGUCAAUUAGGGCGUAUAAGACGCACUACUGUUCCAGACCUGAGCUUGAGUAGACAGAAGUUCACAGACCCAUCAUUUCCCUUUCGUCGGUCCAGUCUCUCAAUUCCACUUCCAUUCCAAGUUAAUCCACCCAAUUCAUCCUCCAGUAGGAGUAAAGCAGAAGGUGCCAGUAGUAGUAGUCAUAAGUGCAACUCCAGCUUGCUAAACACUGCUUGUGGUUAUGCUAUGAUAAUUGUUAUCAUUGUGUGGUUUUUGCCACACAUAGUAACUUUUUUGUCCCUACUUUUCUGUCAAACUUACCAGGGUCCAGCCCCAUUUUAAUAUUUGGACUGGUAGUACUUAGAUUGUCACUGACUAGUUACUAGAAAUUUGAUCCAGUGUGUAGUGUAAAUCUAUGUAUUAAUUUGUGCUAUAAAUACCGUAUUGUGCAUGCCGCAUUUACUUACCGGUAUCGUGUACAUUAUAUGGAAUUAUUAAGGCCAUGUCUCUGACAAUUAAUAUGGCAUUUAUAUUUCGUAUUACUUACAGUAUAAAUAGUUAAUCUGGUAUAAUUUUCAGUAGUGCAUUAAUAUAUGGUAAGGAGUAUUUUUGCAUGAUACAGUAGUUGGCAAAGCUAACUCUCCCCAAGACAGUGAGACACUCCCAUACAACCUCUUCCUUGUGUUCUGCCUUCCGGAUGGCUGGCUGGCAGUGUGUUGUUGGUGCCGGCCUCACCUUGCCCUAUACAUGGAAGAAGACAGAGAUUUGGAAUCAGUUAUGGUACGCAAAGGGCUUCAGCUUUCACCACUCAGAAGAGAAACUGGUGUAUAACUAGUGUAUUUAAGUAUCAUUUGAAUAUUAUCAGCUUUGUUAUAAUGCGUACGAUGUGGUGUGUUAGUAAGAUUGACAAGCACAAUGUUUCUCCGGCAAGGGAGGCUGACCAUGGAGUAUCUCGUAUCUAACUUGAUUAAUAAUUAAUUUAAACCUCGUGUCCUUGAUUCUUUGAGCUCAUGCAGUAUCAAUUAUAUUUGUUUGCUUUAUGUGCUGCUCUUGAAAACUCUUAGCAACAAAAUUUAUAGAAGAGUGAAAAGUCUUAGAAACCUAAUUUUGUAUUUUCUAGUAUGAAUACGUUAUCUUCUGGUGAUUAAAUUUACCAAAGCACUUUGAUGAACUGGUAAGAGGUAAAUAGAUUUUUGUCCUCCCCAUUUCAGUAAUGAAAAAACAGAUGCAUGAUAGGUAUUUAACAAUAUCUUGAGAUAAACUAAAGAAAAAGCUGUGAAGCUUUGCAAGUAAUGAGACAAUAAGUACGACUGUUCUUAAUAUUCGCGCUGUUAUUGUUCUUAGGUGGUGUAUAAGAUUUAUAUAUAUUUAUAUAUUUUUUUUUAAUUAGUAUUGAUGUCUCAAAAGCACUUUGGCUUGGCAUUCCUCAUAAGAAUUUGCAGCUGUAAAUUUAAUAGUGCAUUUUAUGAGAAGUUAAAUUUUUAACUUCUAACUAUCCAAAGCUAUAAAUGGGGCAACAUUUUAAGCAUGCAUUUCAAGACUCGUGUAACCUGAAGGGAGUCUAGAUCAGUCUAGAUUGUGUUAAUGUUUACUUAGUGGUUUAUCAGUAUUAGGAAGAGUCUGAAAUGUGCCUUUCUCACUAGGUCUUCAGCAGAUGUUAAUAUAAAUGUAAAAAUAUAACUGCUAAUGGCUUAUUGGUUUAAUGGCGAGCAUAUCACAAUGAUGAUAAACCACUUAGAUAUUUGAUCUUGAAAUGUAGCAAAAGAUCUACUUGUUGUUGAUGCUUACUUGAGUGGGCUUCUAAGGGCUAGGAAGUAUCGCUGUACAAUAGGUAAUCUUGUUACUUUUAUACUCGUCCAAACCAGUAAUGCUAAAAACAUGAUUUAUGAAUUGGUGCUUAUGUUAAUGUCAAAUAUUUGUUAGCAUACUCUAUGCUCUCAGACUUGCAUAUACAGUAUUUUUUCAUUUUUUUUAAGGAGAGCAAUAAUAAAAGAGCAGUAUACUUUUGUUGUGAUGAAUACUAAAAAAAAUUUUUUUACUAUGAUUUCUAGCUUUAACUAGUGCAUUUGUAUAUAUCUCUGAUAAGCAUCAUUUUGCUCACAUUUUGCUAAACUCGCAUAUGUUUUAACGACAAUAGUACACUAGCAGUUGCUCACUGAGAAAACGGGCAGUUUCUCUUGUGAGGAUGAGACAAAGAUGUCAGAUUCUGACCUGUUCUUUGUGAAGUGUGCAGAGGGUGAUCAGGUAAUGGAGCUCUUAUACCCUGUUAUAGUGAGUUUUAACCAAGUCCAAUCAGAGUGAUAACAGUGUUAGUGUGUGUAUAUGUAUGUAUAUGAAUGAGUGUGUCAUUGUGUUAUGCAUUAGAGGUGCAACGACAGAUAUUAAUUUUCCUGAAUUAUUUUUUAUUCUGUGUAAUAUUCAGGUCUGUUGACCCAAAUCACAAUGAUGUAAAUGAAUUCAUGCUCUAAUUUAUACAGCUUUUUUAUAGAUUCCUUGUCUCAACAGUACACUGAAGCUAAUAUUGGCUGUUGUUUCAUACUGUAUCAUUAUUUACCAUGGUGCUCUUAGUAAAUGAAAUCUUUAAAUUAUAUUGUUUUAUUUAUUCCAAAACUAAUCGGCUGUUAGUAUGCCUACUGUCCUGUGUUGCUUAUCAUUUUCAUUUGCUUUGAGAGUGUUAAACAAGACUGGUUAUUUAAUAUUUUAUUUGCAUAAGAGACUAGAAGCUGGAGCACACAGAUGCACUCCAUCCAAAUCAUACAUGUAUAAUGGUUUGCAAUAGUAUUUAAAGCUACGAUAUUGAAACUACAUUUUAUUGAUAAACCUUAAUGAAAGGCAUUUUAGUAAAGGCAAUAGUAUUUAAAGCUAUGAUAUUGAAACUACAUUUUUAUUGAUAAACCUUAAUGAAAGGCAUUUUAAAAAUUUGGCAUUGUAAUAUUAAUAAAGCACAAAAAAUUGCAAACUCAAUGCACAAAAUAAUAAUUUAACCUUUGGUGUGAGGCAAAUUGCCAAGAUAAAAAAAAAAGUAUAUAAAAUAGUUUGGACCCAGAACUGCAACUGCACAACAUU